rfam:Salmonella enterica subsp. arizonae serovar 62:z4,z23:--, complete genome.
UAUAUUUCACUCCAGACCCCUCGCCAGACUCCUGAGAAACGCCAGGUAAACGUUUGCCUACACACACCCUAAUCGCAACCUCAGGGUUGCGGCACGCCGGAUAAACAACACGGAACGUCAGGAAAGGGUCAAUGGCCGUUAUGCUAAUUCAAUAAGCCUGGAAUUUUGUCUCAUCUUGAGGAAAAGGGGAAGCGUUAAAAACAGUUAUCAAUAUAAAACAUGAGAGAUUUUUGUGCGGAAAUCUGUAAAAAUGCUCUAUAUCACUUUUUGUGUGGGAAUAAAAAGGAGAAAACUUGAUGAGUACCGACCUGAAAUUUUCAUUGAUCACCACGCUUAUUGUUCUCGGCGUGAUUGUCGCAGGUGGAUUAACUGCCGCACUGCACUGAUAU